CCCAUGCGACAGCCCCGUGGGUGCUUCCCCAGUGCGUGCGGACAGGCAGAGCUGCUGGCCUCAGCACAGCUGUGUCCCUGAGUCACUUAUGGGACGAAGCCAGGAGCCUGUCUCUUAGAACCUGGCCUUGCCUCUGCGGUCGCCCAUCUCUAGUGGACUCUCUCCUCCAAAAUCACACAGCAACCUCUGAAAUGCACCUGAGAAGUUUUUGAUGUAUUGCAGGAAUGAUGCUACCCCCACCAUAAGCACAAGGCGCGAUGCAGACUUCGUGUAGCACCUCCUCAUUCUUUGCCCACCAAGGGAUGUCUGCCUUGAAGCCAGCUCUGCUUCAGCUCUGGGGACAGUUAUUUAUGCACUGACCCUAAGGGAGCCAAAUAUGCUGCUGGUCAAUCAUCUGCUCACAUCUUUGUUAUGCAAUUCAGUUGUCGUUAUUUCACAGAAAAAA